AGUGAACGCUGGCGGUAGGCCUAACACAUGCAAGUCGAACGGCAGCACAGGAGAGCUUGCUCUCUGGGUGGCGGGUGGCGGACGGGUGAGGAAUACAUCGGAAUCUACUCUGUCGUGGGGGAUAACGUAGGGGAACUUACGCUAAUACCGCAUACGACCUACGGGUGAAAGCAGGGGAUCUUCGGACCUUGCGCGAUUGAAUGAGCCGAUGUCGGAUUAGCUAGUUGGCGGGGUAAAGGCCCACCAAGGCGACGAUCCGUAGCUGGUCUGAGAGGAUGAUCAGCCACCCUGGAACUGAGAGACGGUCCAGACUCCUACGGGAGGCAGCAGUGGGGAAUAUUGGACAAUGGGCGCAAGCCUGAUCCAGCCAUACCGCGUGGGUGAAGAAGUCCUUCGGGUUGUAAAGCCCUUUUGUUGGGAAAGAAAUCCAGCUGGCUAAUACCCGGUUGGGAUGACGGUACCCAAAGAAUAAGCACCGGCUAACUUCGUGCCAGCCGCCGCCGUAA
rnacentral:rRNA from 1 species